AAACUUAUGAUGAACACAAUGUCCAGACGCAUCCACCUGGUUUUCAUGUCAUCUUUCUGCCAUUUGCCGAUGAUAUGAGGAAACUUAAUUACCCUGAAACAGCCAAAGCUACCAAUAAACAAAUAAGCAAAGCAAAAGAUAUAAUCAAGAAACUUACUUUUACUUUUGAUGCAUCAAGUUUUGAAAAUCCAUCUUUGCAGAAGCAUUAUCGUCACCUUGAAGGGCUGGCUUUGGACAGAGAUGCACCAGACGACUUCACUGAUCUAACAG